rnacentral:lncRNA from 1 species
GUGUGCCAAGCCCCCAUGGGCCGUGCCAAUGCUGCACAGUCUGCUCUGUUGGUGCCCAGAACGAGAUGGUUGUGGGAGGCAGAGCUGGCUGAGCACCUUAGCAAAUCUGCUUUCCCUGGCAGCAUCCUGUGUGCCUGGAGGUGCCCCCAGCCUGCCCUCCCAGGGAUCUGCAGAGGGAACAUGCCCUGCUGGAUGAACAAGCUGUGGAAUGCCAAGCCUCUUCUACAGCUCCUCUACAGGUGGUGGCUGGUGGAGUACCUCCUUCCAGUCAGGCAGCACAGGAGCUACAAAGAGAGCAACAAGAAUCCUGUCCUCAGCCCCACUGUGAGGUCUGUGGGGCCCUUGAUGUGCUGCACAGUGACAGCUGCAAAAUUCCUGCAUGACCCUGGAUUUGUUAUCCUCUUAAUUGCUCUUACUUCCUUCUGGAGGUCAGGCCCUGCCAUCCGUUGCCAGUUCCUCAGAGAAUUUAGAGAAAAAUAGGAACUAUCAGCUUAAAAUGUGGUUCUUGCCUUAAAAAAAAAAAAAAAAAAAAGAAAGAAAGAAAGAAAGAAAAAGUGACUUGAUAAAAAUAGCCUCUUCCUCCUCUGUUGCUCUGAUUUCUCUAUGACUCCAAGUCAGUUUUGCUCGCUUGCAGAUGGAAAAAUGGGAAAAAUGUUUUUUGCCAUUUCUCUCCUGUUUCACACAGAGCUCCAGGAGAGAGACCUGUAGUUUCUCAGCAGGAUAGCUAACUAAAGUCUAAAUGAAAAAUUUGGGCUGUUCCUGGAAAUGAGGGGGGGAAAUCCCCAAAGCAACAGCUUAAUCUGUAUAUCUUUUCUUAGAUCUGCAUAGUUGACAAUAAGACUAAAGAGUGACCAGCAACUUAGUGGGGCACAUUAGGACUCGGAUACUGUGUGAUAACACAGUUGUAUGUAACUAUUUGCAUGGAAUUUCUUCAGGAUAUUGUUCUUAAAUAUUUUGGCCAACAAGAUGCUUGCCAAGUUUUUACAAUGUAAGCAUUCUUGCAUAGUAAGGACAGAGUCAGACAGACAAGGAUGUUUUGUCACAUACUGCCAUACUGCCAUAUACAUAUUGUCAGUAUGUAGGGUGGUUUGUGGGGUUAAGAAAAUAUGGCCAAGCCUUUCCAUCCUCUGCUUGCCAUAGGCUAGCACUUCUUUUUCCCUCUUUUGGUGUCCUCAGGUUAAAAUAGUUUUCCCUAAAGAGUUUUUCAUUUUGAAGGUAUGAAAUGUUUUUCCUUCUCUGACUGCUGUAAUUGCUGUGAACAGUUGUUUUACAUGGGGGCUGCUGUCUGCUUGAGGAAUGUUUUAAAGAGAGGAAAACUUCAGAUCACCAGAAAUAGGCUGCAGACUACAUUAACAAAGUGUACAAAAUCUCCCUGCUCCAGCACAUCCCAUGUGCAAGAAACAAAAAACACCUCAGGUUGUUUAUCUGUUAAGCUUGCACACACUUCUCUUCUGCACACAUCUGCGUAUGGGGUGUUAUG